rnacentral:lncRNA from 1 species
GCCAUCUCUCCCAACCUUAUAUUGAGCAAUAAUAUAUAAAAAUAAUGAUAACUAUUCAAAUCUCAUGCAUAAUAAUGUAAUGAAGAUAAUCACACAAAUAACAAGAAAUAUAAUCAUUCACUACGGGUAUUCUUUUAUCAAUUAUAUUUAAUUAAAUUUUUGCAAAAAAUAGUUAUAGGCAUAACAUCGUAUCAAAACUUUUAUAAUCUAAAAAUUUAGAGUUCAAUCACUAGUUUAGUGACAAAAAAAAAAUUUAAACACAAGACAAAUUAAAAAAAAACAUAUGCAACUCACAUAAACUCAAUAAAUUUUUUUGUGUGAAAAGACAUAUUAAAAAUAUAAUUAAUUCAUAGAAUUUAAUUUUGAUGCGCUAACAGUAUAAAGCAUUUUACAUACUCGUGCAAUUAUAUUCGUUCUUUUGGAUAACCAAUAAUGCAGUCAAUGUAAAAAAUAGUUAUUUUUACUAUAUAGUAUUAUAUAAAUAAAUACACGUGUAAAACUAAUUUACACUCACCGUACACUAAAAUUAAAUUUUUGUUUAUAUGUCUCCUCUUAUCAGUUUAAAAUUUUACAAAAAAUGAUUUUAUGAGAUAAAUCACAUACUUGAUAGUUAUUUGUAAUUCAUUCUGUUAGGAGUUAUAAGCUAGCUAGUUAUUAGUGCUAUUACUGAUUAAUUAUGUUUUCUGUUAGAGUUAGUCAGUUAGGAGCCCAGCUGACUUAGCAGCAGCUUCUAGCAAGUUCUAUAGUUUGUUACAGGUUGGUUAGCUAGCAGUAUACAUAUAAAUAGCAAUUCCACACAUGCUGCAAUUCAGUUACUGAGUUGAAUGCAGCUUCACACCCUUCGUGCUUCUUUCUCUCUUUUCCUUUCUCUCUGAAAUUCUCCCUUGAAGCCUGGUACCUUUCACAUUCCUUUUGAUAUAGUUUCAAUAACAAAAACCACAUGAAAUGAGAAUUAUUUAAAUCUCCAUAUAUUAAUUAUUGUUCAUUCCUCCUUUAAUUUAUGUUNAUCAAAUAAUAAUAAAAAUUACUAAUUUUCAAGAAUUUUUCUUUUGAUAAUUAGUGCAAUAAUUUAUCUUAUAUAUUAUUAGGAUAAAGUAUCAACAAUAACAAUAAUAUAAUAAUUAAUAUAAUGAGAACCUAAAACCAGAAGGAAAAGUGAAAAAAGAUUUGCCAUAGUGAAGUUAGCCGCCAUGUAUGAAAUACUUGCUAUAUCAGUAACUUUUAAUUUUUAAUUUGUGCAUGUAACUCUAAGAGAUUUAGGUGG